rnacentral:rRNA from 1 species
GUGCCAGCCGCCGCGGUAAUACCGGCAGCACGAGUGAUGGCCGCUCUUAUUGGGCCUAAAGCGUCCGUAGCCGGCCAGUCAAGUCCGUUGGGAAAUCGGCGCGCCUAACGCGUCGGCGUCCAGCGGAAACUGUCCGGCUUGGGGCCGAACGACCCGAGGGGUACGUCCGGGGUAGGAGUGAAAUCCUGUAAUCCUGGACGGACCGCCGGUGGCGAAAGCGCCUCGGGAGGACGGACCCGACGGUGAGGGACGAAAGCCAGGGUCUCCAACCGGAUUAGAAACCCCUGUAGUCC